rnacentral:lncRNA from 1 species
AUUCCUGGAAAUUUGAGGAGCAGCCUUCAGCAGCCAAAGAAUGUGGUUCUCCCCGGAUCUGUGGGUAUCAGGGGAACAGAAGCAGGAUCAGUUGGAGUCCAAGAAUGAUGUCCCUCGAGACACUGCAGCCAGUAAUUACUACUUGUGGGUAGUGCAAGGGAAGGAAGAUGGAUCACGAAGGUACAGCCAGCCCUGUUUGGAGAAGGAUAAUGCAGGUAGCAUAAAUGCCAGCUCCUGCAUGAGCUCACAAAUCCAGCUCUGGUCCUGGACUUACAGCACAAGAGCCUCGUGCUCCCCCAGCUUGGAGCAGCAGGGAGAAAAACACAAGGUAACUCCACUUGCUCUGCAAGGUUGGCACAGAGUGCUGCUUGAUAAACCACGUUAAACCUUCUCUAGCUCUUCUUAGAGCUGCUUCACACACACAGCAGCAGCAUCCCAAAUAUUUCCCAGGAACAGGCCAGGCUCAUGUGAAAUGGCUGUGUAUGUUCUGCAGGCCUUGCUAUGUCAGGCCCAGCACUGUGACACUGCAGAUCUGUGGCUUUUUGAGCAAAGGUGACCCUCAAAAUGAUAUAGCAGCCAUCUGGCAGGUCACAUAAGUACAGGUAUCUGAGAAUUGGCAAAGGACAUCAAAAAUGGUAGCUUUCUUAUUUUCUGAGCACUUAAGCUCCUAUACAAACAGGAAUGAAACACUCUGAAUAUAAACAUGCUGUUGACUUAACAUGAAAAACGCUGGAAAUGCAGUUUCUCUGUCCCACGGUGUGUUUGUGUUGUUAUCCUAACCUUUGAAUGUGCUGCGAGAGUCUGAUUGUUUAUGAAAGCUGCUAGGAAAUAGUUGUGAAAAGGGCUCGUGCUGCUGAACUUCCUACAGCUGUGCUGGAGUUGAACAUGGCUGAGCUGCACCACUUGAGGCUUGCCUUAACCGAGAAGGAGAUGCCCUUUUAUGUGGCAAUUUAUGAUUAAUCCUAUAUAUAUAUUUAGGAAGGGGUUGAAUUGUCCCCAGUUGCCAUGCUUAUUCUUCUCCUUUAUCUUUAAAAUCGGUCUAGGAUAACUAGCUCGGAUGUGGGUACCUUGGCUUAGAAGUCCGUAUGGGGUUAGAUGAAUACAAUCUUUUCCUCUUGAAGGAGGAUAUUCAAAAAGUAAAAAACUUUUGAACCACACGAGGUGAGAGAUGAAAUGUGAACAGGAAAAAGCGGAGCGCUUUGGAACAGCUUAUGAAAAUCUUACUAGCUGCUGAAGAAUCCACAAUCAAGGGAGAUAUCAAAGAUAAAAUGGCUCAGAAGAGAGGCAGGAACUGCUAUUAAAAAUACUCUUUCCCUUCCUCCUGCCACCAGAAAUCCCUAAAUAGAUAACUGUCAGAUGUUAUUCCAUGAAUAUAAAUGAGCAGAUAAUGAAGCAACGUAUAAAAUUAGUAAAGUGGGGAAAAAAAAGGCAUGGGUGGAGGCAGGAUGGCCGGACACUCAGAGGAAGUAAGAUUUUCUUAGGCGAAAAAAAGGAGCUUUAAUGCUGGUGCUCUGUGGCCAGGUAGAAUCAUAAAGACACAGAUACUCAAUACAUUUGUCAGGUGUAUGCUUAAAAUGCUAGAUUUUAGUCAGAUUGAUGUUGGUGUCAUUCUUUCCACUUUAGCAAGCUAGGAGGAUGUGUAACUGCCAUUAAAAUACGACGUAAAUUAGAAGAUGCAAAUAAUGUGUACCAAGGAGUUAAAGAAGAGUAACAUGAGAAACUCUGUGGAGCGCUAAUGUAAAAUUAAGAGCACUCCAGAUUACAGAUUGAACCUAGUUUGUGCCAGUACUGGGCAAGCAGUGUGUGACUGUUUUAUAGGCUGUCAGCUUGAUGUGUAUUUUGGGAAGAAGUACUGAAGCAGGACUGGGACCAAGUCAUGUAAGUAUAGUAAAUCAGUGUGAAAUGCUGGGAAAUGGGACUCAUCUCCUGUGUUGUCCUUUUAUUUCUUUAUAAGGCAGGCAGAUUAGUAGUCUCAUGUAAAUAGUAGCCUUUAUGAUGGAUUUCAAGAUUGCGAUUUGUCAACCCAAAAAUCCCCAGGGAAAAAAUUGAAAUAGUAAAAAGUGUAGAAACCCAGCGUCAGUGGGAUUAAACAUUGCUCAACAGAUUUAAAGCUCUGACUGCCAGUGGAGAAUCAUCAUUGUGUAGUAUGUUUCCCCAAGGUGCAGAGAGCUAAACACUGGGGUACUUUUUGGUUUUUGUUUGCUUUGUUUUGUGUAUUUUUUAACCAUCUCUUGUGUUAAUUUUUUUUGGUGGUUUUGGUAUGGUGAUUUUUUUUUUUCUUGCAGGGUGGGGUAGGGAAAGAUGAGUUACUCUUUAGAAGACAGAGAAGACCAGAAGCAUUCUUGUUAUACUGCAGGUGAACUAUUGGAAAGGUACAGUGAAGAUGGGAAGAUGUCAUAUAGCAGCCUGUGUACGCCUCUUAGGAAGCACGCUGGUAGCACUCACCUUGAAUGCAACCAAAAUACACGAGCAUCUAGAAAUCAGAAAUUAGGUUACGAUUAUACUUUAUUUUUCUGUUUGUUUGAGAAAAACGCUGUGUAGGUGCCUCCUGGAUAAUUGGUUCAAGAGCUGUUGUAGGCCUUUUUUAAAGGCAGGAGAGAGAAUGACGUGAAAUGCUCCCCUUCAAGGGUGACUGCAUUAUAACAGCGAGGAUUUAGAAGGAAAGAACAACACUGUGUCAGCCUGGGUGUUAUUUAGUACUUUUUUUCCAACUGUACAUGCUUUGAGGAUAGCUGAGCCGUGGCUGUACCCUAGUGUGUAGCUUCUGUGUUGGAAAAGGGAAAGCAAGACUGCUGGUCGAUUGCAAGGUGCUGUCAUGUUAGGAGGUAGAGGAGCAGUGGGAGGCCUGAAAAAGGAAUGUCUUGCUCAGCAAGAAAUUAAAAAUGAGGGGAGGCGAGCUGAAAUUAAGGAGCAGACAAGCAUGGGUGAAACAGGGCUAUAAAAUUGAAAAUGGGCACUGUGAAUCACGCUUUGGAAACGCUUUGAUAUUUUUUGCUCAGGGUUUUGAGCUGAGCAGUUGAGCAUUACCCUGCCAGGCGAAAUAUGUCGUCGCUGUACCUCUGAAGCAGCUGAUCAAAAGCAUUCUUGCAUGCCUGUGUGACAGGGUGGAAAUAGAGCAUUGACCAGCACUGUGGGGAGCGAGGGUGGGGACAGUGUUUUCAAGAGAUUGGCCUUUAACUAAAGGUGUCCUGAAGGAGUGUAACUUCAUCUUUUUGAAAGGAUGAAUGUUAAAUGUUGUCCAAAAAUCAGGCCUUUAGGAUACGUGUCCGUGCGGCCAGCAAAGGAUGCUGGCCUGCAAAAUGCAGUCGUGCUCUUUGAUUCCUAAAGAGGAUCUUCAAGGUCAUUGCAUGGCUUCUGCUGGAUAGUAUUUUUUUUUAAAGGAGUAAAACUUGGCUAUAUAAAAAUAGCACAUCAGAAGUGUUGUUUGAGAGUUCAUGGAGUUGUCUGGUCUCAAAGCUGAAGUAGUUGAGCUAUAGAUUACUUCUAGUGCGUCAACAUGCAACACAACUAUGAGCUGGGGUUAACAGAUCACAUUCCUUAGUCAAACUGUCUCUGAUUCAUCUUCAAGCGUUGUUCCAGAUCUUCAAAGGAAGCCAGAUUCUCUACAGCAACAAAUGUUUCUACUUCUCCGAGCUUACUGAACAAGUAAAUAAGUCCAGCAAAAUCCAAAUGCAAUUUGGCAAGCCAGAAUACUGCUGGAAAUGUUUGCCAGAAUUUCCUUGGCAAAAGCUCUUCUCUGUUUUCAGUAGAUUUGGAAUGAAAUCAGACAAGAUCUCAGCUCGCUCUCCAUGGAAACCUAGUGACGGCCUUAAAUAUUCCUACUACUGGGUGCAUUGUGUGCGAGGAGUGUAGCUGCAGGAGCGCGCCGUGCAGGGUGGUUUCCUUGUGCACCACCCCUCGUCUGUGAGAACUGGGUUAUAGCUACAUCAGUGGCAUCAUUCACAUGCUUGUUAAAUAAAUGGGAAAGAACAACCA